UGAAUGGCCCUCCUGGAAGUCGGCCACUUUGAGGAAGAGAAUUCUUCCUGCACCAGGCAGAAUUCCCUCCAGCAGUCUGUUACACAAGAGGCCCGCAUGGAGACUACUGGCAGUCUCACAGGUUCACUUGUCCCGGCUUGCAGGAAUGUAGCCCCAUCGGGCCAGGUUCGUUUCACUGAGCCCUGGGUCUGAGGGCGAAGCCCUGCUGUGGACCUUCUGAUGAACAUAAAUGCAUCCUGACCACAACCAGCCAAGAGCCCUCCCUGGAUCCUGCCAGCUCUGUGGUCCCUGAUGAAGAUGUAGCUCUCAGCCCUGAUGAUGCAGCUCCCGUGCCCUGCCUGCCUGCCUGCCGCUCAACUCCCUAUCAUACUGUUCAUAGACUUACCCUCUGAAACUACAGCCAAUCCUCCAAUUAAAUGUUUUCUUCUUU
ensembl:processed_transcript 1810021B22Rik RIKEN cDNA 1810021B22 gene